UCCGAUCAACAAUAAAAUAAGGACCUUCCCAAUUACUCUGGAAUUCGGGACAAUGCCCUUGUUGUCGACGAGGUUGAAAUAACCAAACGGAAUCUCCCUUUUCAAAUUUUAAAUUUCUAGAUCUGAUGUCAUAACGAUCCUUAGUCUUAUCGGAGGCCAUACGAAUUCUUUCCCUAGCAAAUUCAUGAACCUCGUCCAAUUUUUGACGGAAAACCGAAUUAAAAAUCACCUGGGACGAAGCCACGGAAGGAUUGACGCCCUUUUCUAAAUCUAACGGAAGUCGAAGAUCCCGACCUGUCAACAUCAUAGCUGGAGAAAAACCGGUAGUGUCGUGAAUUGCAGAGCGAUACGAUAAAAGAAAUAAGGGAAUCCACUCAUCCCAAUCUUUCUGAUCCUGAUCAACGAAAGAAGAAAGAUAACGAAGAAGCGUCCUAUUCAAUCUUUCUAUCAUUCCAUUAGACUGCGGAUGCAAAGCGGUGAGGAGCUCCGUAACGAUAAACGAAUUCACGAACGAAAGCUCGAGCAACGGUGCUAGCUUCUUGAUUCGGAAUUGGGACUACUUCUAACCACUUUGUAAAAUAAUCUGCUAUCACCAGGGCAUACCGAUAUCCUGACCUAGAAGGAGGAAGAGGGCCUAGGAUAUCCAUUGCGACUCUUUCAAAUGGAGCUCCUACGUUAUAUAUUUGAAGAGAACUCUUCCCUUUUUCACGAGGUCCUUUCUUGGCUAAACAAACCGUUCAAUUUCUGCACUAAUUUUCAACGUCAGCUCGGCAGAACCAGAAGCUGCAAACGUACCGACCUGGAGUCAGGUGAUUCCCAUUUGCUAUAAAGCAACUGAUCGAGGAGAAACAAGGAGUCCCACUGCGUCCAGUAAAUUUUCAAAGACUGACUCAUAGAAGAUACUUCUUCCCACUGAGGCCAGACUCCUCAGGAUUUCCAAUUCCGAACUAGGAGGAGAUCUGAAUCUUUCUCCUGGGCGAUGAUCCAGUCUUCUUUAUUUUCAACGAGAGAAAUUUGACGAACGUUAAGCGA